CCCAAUGCAUGGUCUCAGAUUAAGCCAUGCAUGUCUAAGUAUAAGCGAUUUAUACUGUGAAACUGCGAACGGCUCAUUAUAUCAGUUAUAGUUUCUUUGAUAGUGUUUUUUAGAUGGAUACUUGUGGCAAAUCUAGAAACAAUACAUGCUUAUAGGCCCGACUUUUAGGGAGGGCUGCAUUUAUUUGAUAUAAACCAAUACCUUUCGGGGUUGUUUUGGUGAUUCAGAAUAACUAAGCGAACCGCAGAGGUCUUUGUGCCGGCGGGAAAUCUUUCAAGUUCCGGCCCCUUCACUUGCCAACGGAAGGGAAUGGAACAACCGGGGCCUCCCCGGGGGACGAAAAAUUAGGGUCCAAUUCCGAAAAGGGAGCCGGAAAAACGGCUACCACAUCCAAGGAAGGAACCAGGCCCGUAAAUAACUCAUGGUUGACUCACCAAAUAAUUGCCAAAAAAUCCACAUCCGGGGAAUUCAGUGAAUUGCAAGGUAAAUGAAACCAUGGUAAAACCCCCAUCAAGAAUCAUUUGAAGGGCAAUCCGGGGGCCACCACCCCGGGAAUUUCCACCUCCAAUAGCAUAAUUUACCGUGGUUGCAAUUAAAAAACUCGAAUUUAAACUUUUGGAAGGGACAACCGGCCCUUGGAGGCACGCCCAGGAUAAGCCUGGGUCACACCAGGACAACCCUCCGCAUUUCUCUUUUGGCCGUGGACGACUUUCCCUGAACCGACCGCACAGGAUUCAACGCGUCCGUCGUGUGUUCAUCAUGGCCCAGAACUGCGACUGCACCGGGCCUCCACUUCUGGCCUACCUUCCCGACUCAUCUUACGCGGUACGGCUGACAUCAUCAUGUGAGCGCGGAGAGAAAGCGCUGGUUUGAAGUCUGGACACGCCGGAGACCUUUACACGAGGCGACUUCAUUGACAUGGACCACUAUGUCAAUGAAGCAUGACCAGAAGGCGCUCAUAUGGGAUGGAAGGGACUGGGACUGGCUGCCCACGAUUCACGAGGUUCAAGCCACCACUAAUGAUCCCUAACGCCAGGGGAAGUUUAGGAACCGCCUCAACCCUCCGUAGGGAAGGGGGAACGCCCGGGGGGCCGCAAC
rnacentral:rRNA from 1 species